rnacentral:rRNA from 1 species
CCUACGGGUGGCAGCAGUGGGGAAUAUUGCACAAUGGGGGAAACCCUGAUGCAGCAACGCCGCGUGAGUGAUGACGGCCUUCGGGUUGUAAAGCUCUGUCUUCAGGGACGAUAAUGACGGUACCUGAGUAAGAAGCCACGGCUAACUACGUGCCAGCAGCCGCGGUAAUACGUAGGGGGCGAGCGUUCUCCGGAUUUACUGGGGGUAAAGGGAGCGUAGGCGGAAUUGUAAGUGUGGUGUGAAAUACCAGGGCUUAACCAUGGAGCUGCUUUUGAAACUGGAAAGCUAGAGUGCAGGAGAGGAGAGUGGAAUGCCUAGUGUAGCGGUGAAAUGCGUAGAUAUUAGGAAGAACACCAGUGGCGAAGGCGGUUUACUGGACUGUAACUGACGCUGAGGCUCGAAAGCGUGGGGAGCAAACAGGAUUAGAUACCCGGGUAGUC